GACAGUGUUGUGUAGUGGUUUGAGCCUUGGACUAUGACUCUGGAGGCCAGAGUUCAAAUCCCUGUUUGGCCA